CUUCAACUGGCGGUCAACCCGUUAAUGGUCGGAUCGAAAAGCAGUAAACUGGCUGCCCACCACUUACGGGUCGAUGCGAAAACCAGUAAACUGUCGGCCACCAGUGAGUGGUUAAUGAGGUGUUGCCGUAUUUAGAUGUGAAAUUGAACGCAUUUAAGUAUAGUUACGCUCUUUUAGUGCCCAAAAUUAGGUAGCGAGUUAGACAAGGAUAGUAUACCGUAAGAAACACAAAUACACUUGAUAUAAAAUUUGUUAGUGAGGACCAUUCAUUCGGGAACGACCGCCUAGUCCGAGUUCAGUCUUGUAUGUUAGGUCCCUUUUAAUGAUAUGAUCUUAAUAAUAAAAGUCUUAAUUUGAUAAUUAAAUAGCAAUCACCUCCAAUCAUCAAUUUGUUUUAUGGUGGUAUCCAUUUUUAACAAGGACACUGGGAACCUGUCAUUCCUCCGGAGUUUAAUUAGGUCUGGCCAAAUUUAUAAACAUUUCCUAUAUAAUAAUUUAAUUAUUAUAUUCAAAUAGCGUAUUUAACGCUGAUUAUAACGAUAUGUGAUUUAAUAUACUUUUAAACAUAGAAAAGCUUAAAUCGACGGAUUUAUUAAAUUCUUUUAAUCUGCGCUGACCACCCAUCGGAGCCCCGCCACGUGACUGCUUUUGCGCAAAUCCGCGGCGCCACUUGACUACUUUUCGCGUUUUCGCUGGCGCCACUUGAAGGGUACUAACAUAUCGACCGGG